AUUUAGACUUUUGUGAAGGUAGAUGACGUGCGGCUAGAAAAAGGCAAAUUUAGCCACGUGAAAGAUAGUCACUGCCUUUCAAGAAAACAAAUGACUACUUAUAGUAGUCCAAUUGUUUUCAUUCUGGAUUUUGAUGAGAAAAUUUUCAUAAAAAACCUGCUUUUGAAAUUCAUAUUGCAAUGAAUGCCCCACGAGUCACAAUACUUUAAUUCCAUUGUAUUGUUUAUGGAAUAGCAUUUAAUUUGUCUCUUCUGGAUGGUGGGCUUGGGUUGUUUAUCCCAUUCUUGCAUUGUUUGUUGGCCUUGUCAAUGCAAAAAGGAUGCUCUGUAUUGAUAUUCACUGAGAUUAAUGAUAUGUCUAGUCAUUAUUAUAUGUAUGUACUCAAACCUUUAUUGUUACAAUUAUUUAUAGGAACAUUAUUUGUGGCCCUGAUUCAUUCUGCAUUUUUACAAAGUGCCAAAUAAAACCCAGUCUCCCUACUUCCCCUUAUCUUAGAAGACUUGUCAUUUCUAUUGGUCUUUCUUAAUUCAGAGAUA
rnacentral:misc_RNA from 1 species